rnacentral:lncRNA from 1 species
AAGAUGCAAAUGUUGGAUAUAUUUGUACAGCAGCUAAAAGUACUCUAAUACUACAUAUUAUGAAAUCACCACGUACCCCAAAAUAUUAACAAAAUUCUUGCAAUAUUUGUAGGAGAACUGCUGGAUUUUGCUUUCUUAACUCUUUUGCUGUUGCUACUGAAAAAAGAGAGUAACUUGGACAAUGAAAUAAUCUCAAAUGAGGUGGCUUUAUUUUUGCAUAUGUUGGAGGUCCUCUGUGAAUCACUGUGUGCAGAGAAUGCUUCUUUGUAAGAAGAUGGAAUAGUUUUUGUGACUGGUUACUGUCCCACUGUCCUUCCACCAGUGGCUUGGUCCCCUGUGAUCUGGGAGCUCAUCCUUGCAGGCAGCUCCAAGUGACAGAGUGGCCUCAGUGUGUGACAACUGAUAUCCAGAUGCUGGCAGUGCUUGGAAGAAGUUGCUGUACAUUCCUUCAAGGAUUAGACAGCACUUGCACAGAUACGUGGGUUAAGGUGGCGCAUGAAGACACCAUUAGAAGGACACUUGGAAAAGGCGACCCAUUUUGCCAAUCUUCAUCAACCUUAUUGUAUUUCAGAUUCUGCAUCCUGGCCAGUGAUCACGGGGCAAGCUGGAGAGAAAUGGAACAGAGGAUAUCUCCCCCAAAAUAAGGCUUUUCUACAGAAAGAGGAGGAGGCUGGAGUACAGUGUUGUGAUCAUGGCUUACUACAACUUCCGCCUCCUGGGUUUAAGCCAUCCUCCCACUUCACCCUCCUGAGUAGCUUGGACUACAGGCAUGCACCACCAUGCUGGGGUAAUUUUUAAUUUUUAAUUUUUUUUUUUUGGUAGAGAUGGGGUUUUGCCAUGUUGCCCAGACUGGUCUUGAACUUCUGGGCUCAAGUGAUCCCCCUGCCUGGGCCUCCUAAAGUGCUGGGAUUACAGGUGU